rnacentral:rRNA from 1 species
GGGCGAACGCUGGCGGCGUGCUUAACACAUGCAAGUCGAACGAAGAGCGAUGGAAGCUUGCUUCUAUCAAUCUUAGUGGCGAACGGGUGAGUAACGCGUAAUCAACCUGCCCUUCAGAGGGGGACAACAGUUGGAAACGACUGCUAAUACCGCAUACGAUCUAAUCUCGGCAUCGAGGAUAGAUGAAAGGUGGCCUCUACAUGUAAGCUAUCACUGAAGGAGGGGAUUGCGUCUGAUUAGCUAGUUGGAGGGGUAACGGCCCACCAAGGCGAUGAUCAGUAGCCGGUCUGAGAGGAUGAACGGCCACAUUGGGACUGAGACACGGCCCAGACUCCUACGGGAGGCAGCAGUGGGGAAUCUUCCGCAAUGGACGAAAGUCUGACGGAGCAACGCCGCGUGAGUGAUGACGGCCUUCGGGUUGUAAAGCUCUGUUAAUCGGGACGAAAGGCCUUCUUGCGAAUAGUGAGAAGGAUUGACGGUACCGGAAGAGAAAGCCACGGCUAACUACGUG